UGGGGAAUAUUGGACAAUGGGCGCAAGCCUGAUCCAGCAAUGCCGCGUGAGUGAUGAAGGCCUUAGGGUUGUAAAGCUCUUUCGCCCGCGACGAUGAUGACGGUAGCGGGAGAAGAAGCCCCGGCUAACUCCGUGCCAGCAGCCGCGGUAAUACGGAGGGGGCUAGCGUUGUUCGGAAUUACUGGGCGUAAAGGGCGCGCAGGCGGCUGCUCAAGUCAGGCGUGAAAGGCCUGGGCUCAACCCGGGAAUUGCGCUUGAGCUGGGCUGGCUUGAGUGCGGGAGAGGAUGGUGGAAUUCCCAGUGUAGAGGUGAAAUUCGUAGAUAUUGGGAAGAACACCGGUGGCGAAGGCGGCCAUCUGGACCGCAACUGACGCUGAGGCGCGAAAGCGUGGGGAGCGAAACUGGAUUAGAUACCCUGGUAGUCCACGCCGUAAACGAUGAGUGCUAGACGUUGGGAAGCCUAGCUUUCCGGUGUCGCAGCUAACGCAUUAAG
rnacentral:rRNA from 1 species